rnacentral:rRNA from 1 species
UGCGUAGGCGGUCUUUCAAGCCAGAAGUGAAAGGCUACGGCUCAACCGUAGUAAGCUUUUGGAAACUGUAGGACUUGAGUGCAGGAGAGGAGAGUAGAAUUCCUAGUGUAGCGGUGAAAUGCGUAGAUAUUAGGAGGAAUACCAGUAGCGAAGGCGGCUCUCUGGACUGUAACUGACGCUGAGGCACGAAAGCGUGGGGAGCAAACA